rnacentral:tRNA from 1 species
GCAGUAAUAGCUCAACUGGUAGAGUGCUAUCUUGCCAAGAUAGAAGUUGUGGGUUCGAGCCCCACUUACUGCA